AUUGAACGCUGGCGGCAGGCCUAACACAUGCAAGUCGAGCGGAUGAAGGGAGCUUGCUCCUGGAUUCAGCGGCGGACGGGUGAGUAAUGCCUAGGAAUCUGCCUGGUAGUGGUGGAUAACGUCCGGAAACGGGCGCUAAUACCGCAUACGUCCUGAGGGAGCAAGUGGGGGAUCUUCGGACCUCACGCUAUCAGAUGAGCCUAGGUCGGAUUAGCUAGUUGGUGGGGUAAAGGCCUACCAAGGCGACGAUCCGUAACUGGUCUGAGAGGAUGAUCAGUCACACUGGAAAUGAGAAACGGUACAGACGCCAACGGGAGGCAGCAAUGGGGAAUAUUGGACAAUGGGCGAAAGCCUGAUCGAGCAAUGCCGCGUGUGUGAAGAAGGUCUUAGGAAUGUAAAGCACUUUAAGUUGGGAGGAAGGGCAGUAAGUUAAUAACUUGCUGUAGUGACGUUACCAACAGAAUAAGCACCGGCUAAAUUAGUG
rnacentral:rRNA from 1 species